rnacentral:rRNA from 2 species
CGGCGGAUGGCGGCCUGCCUAUACAUGCAAGUCGAACGAACUCUGGUAUUGAUUGGUGCUUGCAUCAUGAUUUACAUUUGAGUGAGUGGCGAACUGGUGAGUAACACGUGGGAAACCUGCCCAGAAGCGGGGGAUAACACCUGGAAACAGAUGCUAAUACCGCAUAACAACUUGGACCGCAUGGUCCGAGCUUGAAAGAUGGCUUCGGCUAUCACUUUUGGAUGGUCCCGCGGCGUAUUAGCUAGAUGGUGGGGUAACGGCUCACCAUGGCAAUGAUACGUAGCCGACCCUGAGAAGGGUAAUCGGCCACAUUGGGACUGAGACACGGCCCAAACUCCUACGGGAGGCAGCAGUAGGGAAUCUUCCACAAUGGACGAAAGUCUGAUGGAGCAACGCCGCGUGAGUGAAGAAGGGUUUCGGCUCGUAAAAACUCUGUUGUUAAAGAAGAACAAUAUCUGAGAGUAACUGUUCAGGUAUUGACGGUAUUUAACCAGAAAGCCACGGCUAACUACGUGCCAGCAGCCGCGGUAAUACGUAGGUGGCAAGCGUUGUCCGGAUUUAUUGGGCGUAAAGCGAGCGCAGGCGGUUUUUUAAGUCUGAUGUGAAAGCCUUUCGGCUCAACCGAAGAAGUGCAUCGGAAACUGGGAAACUUGAGUGCAGAAGAGGACAGUGGAACUCCAUGUGUAGCGGUGAAAUGCGUAGAUAUAUGGAAGAACACCAGUGGCGAAGGCGGCUGUCUGGUCUGUAACUGACGCUGAGGCUCGAAAGUAUGGGUAGCAAACAGGAUUAGAUACCCUGGUAGUCCAUACCGUAAACGAUGAAUGCUAAGUGUUGGAGGGUUUCCGCCCUUCAGUGCUGCAGCUAACGCAUUAAGCAUUCCGCCUGGGGAGUACGGCCGCAAGGCUGAAACUCAAAGGAAUUGACGGGGGCCCGCACAAGCGGUGGAGCAUGUGGUUUAAUUCGAAGCUACGCGAAGAACCCUUACCAGGUCUUGACAUACUAUGCAAAUCUAAGAGAUUAGACGUUCCCUUUCGGGGACAUGGAUACAGGUGGUGCAUGCUUGUCGUCAGCUCGUGUCGUGAGAUGUUGGGUUAAGUCCCGCAACGAGCGCAACCCUUAUUAUCAGCUGCCAGCAUUAAGUUGGGCACCUCUGGUGAGACUGCCGGGUGAC